rnacentral:misc_RNA from 1 species
GUGAAUCAUCGAAUUUUUGAACGCAAAUUGCACUCCCUGGUAUUCCGGGGAGUAUGCCUGUUUGAGGGUCGUUAGAACAAAAAUCGAAGCGUCGCUCUUUUUUUUUAGGGUGAACGCGUCGGAAUUUAGCCGGCUUUCAAAUUGUAAUUCAAUUCAAAAGUGCCUUAAAUUUAACCAUCCCGGAAGAUUAAAACCGU